CUGCCGGUGGGAGUCCGGUCCGGGUAGCUGCCAGGAGGCCCGGUAGUGGACUGGCGGUGUCGGGGGGAAGCGCCCGGGGCCGAAGCCCAGUGUCGAAAGCCCUGUUUCGGGGCGGGGGCGGGGAGUGCCGAGCCCCCGAAAUCA
rfam:Streptomyces autolyticus strain CGMCC0516, complete genome.